UACGUAGGCAGCAAGCGUUGUUCGGAGUUACUGGGCGUAAAGGGUGUGUAGGCGGUUCUUUAAGUUUGGUGUGAAAUCUCCCGGCUCAACCGGGAGGGUGCGCCGAAAACUGAAGGGCUAGAGUGCGGGAGAGGAGAGUGGAAUUCCUGGUGUAGCGGUGAAAUGCGUAGAGAUCAGGAAGAACAUCGGUGGCGAAGGCGCUCUGCUGGACCAUAACUGACACUCAGGGACGAAAGCUAGGGGAGCGAAUGGG
rnacentral:rRNA from 1 species